rnacentral:rRNA from 1 species
AGCAGUGAGGAAUAUUGGUCAAUAGCCUAAGAGGCUGAACCAGCAACUUGGAGGAAUGUAUAGGGAAAACUGGUAAAAUGUAAUGUACCUAAUAGUAUUAGUGAUUAAUAUGAAAUUAACUAAGUUAAUUAAAAUUCGGAGUAGAUAUGUGAUUAUGACAAUAUUUGCUUAUUUCUUGACAAAGUCACGUGCCAGCAGUCGCGGUAAUACGUGGUAGAUCAGUGUUAUUCAUCUUUAAUAGGUUUAAAGGGUACCUAGACGGUUAAUUAAGCAUAUUUGUGUACUAAUUAUUAACUAGAGUUUAAUGUAAGAAGGAUUGAGUACGGUGAGUGUAGAGAUAAAAUUCUGUCAUACCACUUAGGAACUGGUAAAGGCGAAGGCAACCUUUUAUGUAAAAACUGACGUUGAAGGACGAAG